rnacentral:rRNA from 1 species
ACGGGUGAGUAACACGUAGGCAACCUGCCCCUGGGUCUGGGAUAACGUCGGGAAACCGAUGCUAAUACCGGAUAGGUUGGCUUCUCGCAUGAGAAGCCAUGGAAAGACGGAGCAAUCUGUCACCGAGGGAUGGGCCUGCGGCGCAUUAGCUAGUUGGUGGGGUAACGGCUCACCAAGGCGACGAUGCGUAGCCGACCUGAGAGGGUGAUCGGCCACACUGGGACUGAGACACGGCCCAGACUCCUACGGGAGGCAGCAGUAGGGAAUCUUCGGCAAUGGGCGAAAGCCUGACCGAGCAACGCCGCGUGAGUGAUGAAGGGUCUCGGCUCGUAAAACUCUGUUGCCAGAGAAGAACGUCUAAGAGAGUAACUGCUCUUGGAGUGACGGUAUCUGAGAAGAAAGCCCCGGCUAACUACGUGCCAGCAGCCGCGGUAAUACGUAGGGGGCAAGCGUUGUCCGGAAUUAUUGGGCGUAAAGCGCGCGCAGGCGGUUCAUUAAGUCUGGGGUUUAAGUUCGGGGCUCAACCCCGUAUCGCCCUGGAAACUGGGGAACUGGAGUGUAGGAGAGGAAAGUGGAAUUCCACGUGU